GACGAACGCUGGCGGCGUGCUUAACACAUGCAAGUCGAACGGAAAGGCCCUGAUUUUGUGGGGUGCUCGAGUGGCGAACGGGUGAGUAACACGUGAGUAACCUGCACUUGACUUUGGGAUAACUUCAGGAAACUGGGGCUAAUACCGGAUAGGAGAUCCUGCUGCAUGGUGGGGGUUGGAAAGUUUCGGCGGUUGGGGAUGGACUCGCGGCUUAUCAGCUUGUUGGUGGGGUAGUGGCUUACAAAGGCUUUGACGGGUAGCCGGCCUGAGAGGGUGACCGGCCACAUUAGGACUGAGAGACGGCCCAGACUCCUACGUGAGGCAGCAGUCGGGAAUAUUGCACAAUGGGCGGAAGCCUGAUGCAGCAACGCCGCGUUCGUGAUGACGUCCUUCUGGUUGUAAACCGCUUUCGCCUGUGACGAAGCGUGAUUGACGGUAAUGGGUAAAGAAGCACCGGCUAACUACGUG
rnacentral:rRNA from 1 species